rnacentral:rRNA from 1 species
UACGUAGGGCGCGAGCGUUGUCCGGAAUUAUUGGGCGUAAAGAGCUCGUAGGCGGCCUGUUGCGUCCGCUGUGAAAUCCCGGGGCUCAACCCUGGGCGUGCAGUGGAUACGGGCAGGCUGGAGGCAGGCAGGGGAGAACGGAAUUCCCGGUGUAGCGGUGAAAUGCGCAGAUAUCGGGAGGAACACCAGUGGCGAAGGCGGCAUCCUGGACCGGUAUUGACGCUGAGGCGCGAAAGCUAGGGUAGCAAACGGG